rnacentral:rRNA from 1 species
GACGUAGGGCGCGAGCGUUGUCCGGAUUAUUGGGCGUAAAGAGCUCGUAGGCGGCUUGUCGCGUCGACUGUGAAAUCCCGCGGCUCAACCGCGGGUCUGCAGUCGAUACGGGCAGGCUAGAGUUCGGUAGGGGAGACUGGAAUUCCUGGUGUAGCGGUGAAAUGCGCAGAUAUCAGGAGGAACACCGGUGGCGAAGGCGGGUCUCUGGGCCGAUACUGACGCUGAGGAGCGAAAGCGUGGGGAGCGAACAGG